rnacentral:rRNA from 1 species
GAUGAACGCUAGCGGCAGGCUUAACACAUGCAAGUCGAGGGGUAACAUUGAGUGCUUGCAUUCAGAUGACGACCGGCGCACGGGUGCGUAACGCGUAUAGAACCUACCUUUUACUGGAGAAUAGCCCAGAGAAAUUUGGAUUAAUGCUCCAUAGUAUUAUUGAGUGGCAUCAUUUAAUAAUUAAAGAUUUAUUGGUAAAAGAUGGCUAUGCGUUCUAUUAGUUAGUUGGUAAGGUAACGGCUUACCAAGACAUCGAUAGAUAGGGGUCCUGAGAGGGAGAUCCCCCACACUGGUACUGAGACACGGACCAG